CAAUUUUACAUUAUUUUAAGUCUCUGAUUUUCCUACAAAUUUAUCUUCAAGUCAAUACUGAAGAGAAAGAUAUCAAGAUUGAGCUAAAGGAAUCCAAGUCUUUUCAGGGGAAAAAAAAAAAAAAGCUUAAGAAUAUG